UGAGCUAACGCGUUAAGUGUGCCGCCUGAGGACUACGGCCGCAAGGCUAAAACUCAAAGGAAUUGACGGGGCCCCGCACAAGCGGUGGAGUAUGUGGCUUAAUUCGAGGCAACGCGAAGAACCUUACCAGGGUUUGACAUGCAGGAGACCGGGGGUGAAAGCUCCCUUCGGUAGCAAUACCGCUGCUGCACAGGUGCUGCAUGGCUGACGUCAGCUCGUGUCGUGAGAUGUUGCGUUAAGUCGCGCAACGAGCGCAACCCCUGUCUUUAGUUACCAGCACGUAAUGGUGGGGACUCUAAAGAGACAAACCUCCUCUGGAGGUGGGAAGGUGGGGAUGACGUCAAGUCAGCAUGGCCCUUACACCCUGGGCUGCACACGUACUACAAUGCCCGGUACAGAGCGUUCCAAGACCGCGAGGUGGAGGCAAUCGCCAAAAGCCGGGCCCAGUUCAGAUUGGAGUCUGCAACUCGACUCCAUGAAGCCGGAAUCGCUAGUAAUGGCAUAUCAGCAACGGUGCCGUGAAUACGUUCCCGGGGCUUGUACACACCGCCCG
rnacentral:rRNA from 1 species